UGAGGAAUAUUGGUCAAUGGGCGAGAGCCUGAACCAGCCAAGUCGCGUGAAGGAAGACUGCCUUAUGGGUUGUAAACUUCUUUUGUAGGAGAGUAAAAAAGGCGAUGUAUCGCCUCUUGCAAGUAUCCUACGAAUAAGCAUCGGCUAACUCCGUGCCAGCAGCCGCGGUAAUACGGAGGAUGCGAGCGUUAUCCGGAUUUAUUGGGUUUAAAGGGUGCGUAGGCGGACUCUUAAGUCAGUGGUGAAAUCUAGAGGCUCAACCUCUAAACUGCCAUUGAAACUGGGAGUCUUGAGUAUAGAUGAAGUAGGCGGAACUCGUUGUGUAGCGGUGAAAUGCAUAGAUAUAACGAAGAACCCCAAUUGCGUAGGCAGCUUACUAAACUAUAACUGACGCUGAGGCACGAAAGCGUGGGUAUCAAACA
rnacentral:rRNA from 1 species